GCAGGAGUUUCAAGUUUCAAGUUUGGUGAUAAAACACACACGAUAUGAUAUAAUCACGAGGGUGGGACCCACUCCGUCUCCGCCAUUGGUUUUUAUAUAUUUCAAGUUUUUCCACUCUGCACAGGAAAAAGAGAGCGAUGACGCGAGGAAAGCAGAAGAUCGAAGCGCAGAAGCGAAACGCAGAGAAGAAUCAGAAGGCAAAGGGCUCUCAGCUCGAGGCCAGAGCCGUUGGCCUUAAAGUCAUCUGCCCCAUAUGCAAGUAUGGCUAAUAGACUAUAGCUAAUCAUGCACGUCUGGUGUUGAUCAUUCAGUUGGUGGCAAGGACUGACACAAUUGUUAAAUAGGUCCAACUUGCAAACCAAAACCAACUUGGUGAUCAUUAUACCUCCAAACAUCCGAAGGAGAAUCCCCCUUCAGAUUCAAGCUAGUUGUACUUUUUUAGCAAAUGGUGCGAAAGGUCAAAAAACAAAAAAAAAAUUGCUCUCUAGGUGUGUCUUCAUGCUUUUAAUGUAAUUCCCUGCUAACAAGGCAGGUUGCAAUCUGUUUUACUUUAAUUGUGUUAAUGUGAGAUCGUAAAGGAUCAUAAAGUGUGCGUCUAACGUUAUAAGAAUAUUAUCAUGUUGUACUAAUUUGGGUUGGAAGUGUAUGAUGCCAACUUGCCAAGCCAGAACGGAAUGGAUUGCACUUUUUAAACUUCAUGUUCCAUUUUGUAAAUUGAACAUAUCCGAUAUAAAACGCAUAAUAUUUUUUUGGGUUUAA